rnacentral:lncRNA from 1 species
UCCCUUCCCUUUUUUUUUCUUUUCUUUUCUUCUCCUCCUCUCUAGAAUCUUCUCCUGUCUUCUUUCUUCCUUCCCCCCUUUCUUUCUUCUUUCUUUUUCUUUCUCCUCCUCCUCUUCUCCCGACUUCUCCUUCCCCCCCUUUCUUUCUUCUUCUUUCUUCUCCCGCGAAGGGAGGUCGCAAGCUCGGGAGAAGCCAAGUCGAGGCCGGCGGCGCCCGCGACGGCCGACCCUCUCCUUCUUCCCGCGGAGGAGGC